CCUACGGGAGGCAGCAGUGAGGAAUAUUGCACAAUGGGGGAAACCCUGAUGCAGCGACGCCGCGUGAAGGAAGAAGGUGUUCGGAUCGUAAACUUCUAUCAGCAGGGCAGAAGAAAGUGACAGUACCUGACUAAGAAGUCCCGGCUAACUACGUGCCAGCAGCCGCGGAAAUACGGGGUGGGCAAGCGUUAUCCGGAAUCACUGAGGGUAAAGGGUGCGUAGGCGGUAGGGGAAGUAAGAUGUGAAAGCCCGGCGCCCAACCCCGGGACUUCAUUUGAAACUGUCUUACUAGAGUGCAGGAGAGGAAAGCGGAAUGCCUAGUGUAGUCGUGAAAUGCGUAGAGAUUAGGAUGAACCCCAGUGGCGAAGGCGGCUUUCUGGACUGUAACUGACGCUGCGGCACGAAAGCGUGGGGAGCGAACAGGAUUAGAUACCCUUGUAGUC
rnacentral:rRNA from 1 species